GGGUGCUUGCUUCCGCAACCCAUAUAUGAAAAUUUGAAUGAUGCAGAGAAGACUAGCAUGACCCCUGCACAAGGUGGACAUGCAAAUUCAUGAAGCAUUCCAUAUUAAA